CAUGAACAGUACAAAUUACUUUAUUCAUACCCUUGAUAAAACCCCUUACAAGCACACAUUUUCCUCAUACCGUUAAUACCCCCACUUACUAGCACACACAUUCAUAAAUAAAAGGUGACCCAAAUUCAAAUAGCUAGGCUUCUAGUAUGGGCGCUGCCCAUUGAAAUUACCAGGGGGAUCAUAGUUGCAAGUAACGAACCAUGACCCACUAUUGCCACUGACCCAGCGCACCCAAGCCGGACGAGUACUCCACAACAAUUUGAUGUAGUUGCCCACAAACCUUACCACCCGGGGCAACACGAAUUAGAUUUGUAGUCAUAGUCGGGCUCCUCUCCGGCCACAUGCCCACGGCCAUAGCCCCGGUGAAGUCGCCACUCUGCCUGCGGCGAUGUUCUCGCCGUACAUUCCACCACCGCCGGAGUGGAUCAUAGCACAAUCGUCAGCCCCUCUGGUUAGCGUAGUUCUCGGCGAAAGCGGCCACGUUGUGUCCCAGGUCAUGGUCCCACCCCAACUUGGUCACGAAUGGUGUUGUGGGCCUUAAGGUAGUCUUUGUGGGAAGUUUUGGGCUAGUGAGGAUUGAACCAUGGCUGGAUUGCGAACAAACGAGAGCUAAUGACAAGUUUCUUAGACAACCCACCCAUUUUUUUUCUCCAGUCUUGUUGAAGAUUGUUCGUGUGUGUGAGGACGAAGCCAUUAUCUUGAGGUAUUUAUAGAGAAAUAGUGUGGAAAAUUGUAUGGCGCGUGACUGGAAUUUUCAACCAAUAAAAGCAUGUCUUGUUGGAUCUAUAAAGAAUGGACACAGUUUCUCUGCAGUCCAAAGUCCAAGCAUUUUAAAUAUAUUUUGAUAAUUUAAACUGUUGAUAUUGUAGACUCUAUCGUAAAGAUCAAUAUUGUAAAAAUUAUGUUGAUCGGGUGCAAAUUAUAUCCGUUCAGUAUUAUUUUAUAAACUUAUAAAUGAGCAUAUUACACAGAAUUAUACCAAAUAUAAAUUGAUAUUAAUUGACCAUUGAUUUGUGUCCGAUCAAAGUUAUUUUUUUAUAGUAAAAAUUAUCGAUGAUAUCUACAAUAUGAACGGUUAGAUUCAUCAAUAUGAACCCGUAACAAAACUUAAAAUACUUGAGUUGUACUGAUACAGUUUAGAUUGGACUGUAAAGAAGUCCAAUCCUUAAAAGAAUAUCAACGUAAUCAUGUUGGCUUUACCUUUGGGUAAAUUUUUUCAAAUCUUUUUUCAUACUUUCUUCUAGAAUUAAUUGUGGUUAAAAAAUAUUUCAUUACAUUUUCUUUAACAUUUGAAAUGGCGCUCGAAAACUUAUUUUAAAACCGUCGCAAAGAACGAUAUUGUAUAACCAAAAUAUUAAUUUAAAAAUGAUUAAAUAAGCACGUACCACUUAGAUCUUAAUUUGCAACGGUAGCUAAUUGUGUCAGUUAGUUAUAAAAACUCUUAAGAUUGUAUUUGGAUCAAGGAUAUAUGGAGAGAUAUGUGGAGAAACAAAUUUCAAAAAAAAAGUUAAUAGACCCAAGAAUUUAAUCUUUAUUCUUUAAUUUUUUGCGUUAUUGUUGAACUUUCUUAUAUAAUUUAUUUUUUAAUUGCCGAGUUUUGAUGUCGAUUUACAAAAAGAAAAUACUUAAUUCCAAAUGAUAUCUCAGUAAAAAAAAAUCAUAGUAGAUAAUAAAUUAAUUAACCAAAUUUAUAACAAGUAUAAAAUUUUAAAAAGAAGAAUUUAGAAAGUAUAAAAUUUUAAUCAAUAAAAAAUAUAAUUAAAGAAAAAAAAACUCGUAAUUACAUUUAAAAAAUAAUACUUUUUAUUUUCUUUUAUUUUCGGGAAUGAAGCCCGGCAUCAGCGGCCAUGAUUUGCUGUCAAUAAAAUUACAGAUAAAAGACGAAGAAGUCUUGAAGGUGUGAACUUUCCAAUUCUGAGGUCAUUUGAAUUUUGGGUAAAUUUAAGAAACAACCCUUCCAUGUGCGCGUUAUCACUUAGGCUCCGUUUGGUAAUGCUUAAAAGUCAAUUUUUUUUUAAACUUGCUUCUAAAAAGGUCAAAAAAUUUUGACUUUUUUGCUUUUGUAGUUUUACUUUAGUUAAAACUAAGUAAAAAGGCAAAAAUAUAAAAGCAAAAAAGCCAAUUCUGAUUGGCUUUUUUGCUUAUUUUAAGCCAAAAAGUUAGAAAAAAAGCUAAAAAAAACUAGUGCCAAACGGAGCCUUAAUCCCAAACUAAAAACCCGAGCAAAAUGACCCUCUCAACUAUUAACCGUUAUGACUAAUUAUUCCAUUGUAAUUCGUCAAGUAACUUGACGGAAAGCUUUCAAAUGGCUCAAAAUAUUUUCUAAAAAUAUUCGUCAAGUAAUUAGUGACAACGGUUAAUCAUUGAGGGGCCACUUUGUUCGAUUUUUUAGUUGAGGGGAUUAAGUGACACAAGCUCAUAGUUUGAGGGGGUGUUUCUAAAAUUAACCUUUACUUUUUCUUUUCAAGUCUUGAUGCCAUGUUUCACAGGUCUUUGGUAG
rnacentral:lncRNA from 1 species